rnacentral:misc_RNA from 1 species
ACCCCGCUGGAGGGGGGGCGGGUGGGGGGGCCUUUUGGGGGGGGGGUGUGGCGGGGCCUCCCCCAGCGGGCGGCAGCAGCAGCGGCGGCAACAACAACAAAAGCAACAGCGGCAGCUGGAGAACCGGUGAGUUUAGCUCAUUCGAAAUCGGAGAAGAUGAAGGGGCUUUUCAAGAAUAAGCCUCGUACUCCUACCGAUAUCGUUCGUCAGACUCGAGAUAUCCUCAUCUAUGCCGACCGCACCUCCUCCUCCGAUCCACGAGAUGCCAAGCGUGAAGAAAAGAUGGCAGAGCUGUCUAAAAAUAUCAGGGAUUUAAAGUCAAUUCUUUAUGGCAAUAGUGAAUCUGAGCCGAUUGCAGAAGCUUGUGCACAAUUGACUCAAGAGUUUUUCAGAGAAAAUAAUCUCCGUCUUUUGAUCAUUUGUCUUCCGAAAUUGAACUUGGAGACCCGAAAAGAUGCCACUCAAGUUGUUGCAAAUUUACAAAGACAACAAGUUCAGUCACGGUUGAUUGCAUCUGAAUACCUGGAAAAGAACACAGAUCUUUUGGAUAUUUUAAUAGGAGGUUAUGAAAACUCAGACAUGGCCUUACACUAUGGUGCAAUGUUGAGGGAGUGCAUACGUCACCAGAGUGUUGCGAGAUAUGUUCUCGAAUCAGAGAAUAUGAAGAAAUUCUUUGAUUAUAUACAACUUCCAAAUUUUGACAUUGCAGCAGAUGCUGCUGCUACUUUUAAGGAACUCCUGACAAGACAUAAAUCUACGGUAGCAGAAUUUCUNNNNNNUAUGAAUGGUUCUUUGCAGAGUAUAAUUCAAAGCUACUAGAAUCUGUCAAUUACAUUACCAGGCGACAAGCUAUCAAGCUGUUGGGAGAUAUAUUACUGGAUCGCUCAAAUUCAGUUGUGAUGACACGAUAUGUGAGCUCAAGGGAUAACUUGAGGAUUCUUAUGAAUCUUCUCAGAGAAUCCAGUAAAAGCAUCCAGACAGAAGCAUUUCAUGUUUUCAAGCUCUUUGUUGCAAAUCAAAAUAAACCUCCCGACAUUAUUACCAUACUCGUAGCAAAUAGAAGCAAACUUUUGCGUUUGUUUGCUGAUUUCAAAACUGAUAAAGAGGAUGAACAAUUUGAAGCGGACAAAGCGCAAGUUGUGAAAGAAAUAGCUGCCCUUGAACCUAGAGACCGGACAUGAGUGAGUUUGGUUCACUUGUUGUAAUAUCAUUUUAUUUGCCUUGUUAAAUUUCAUCUGUGAAUUAUAUAUAAAUAGCCUAAUCAUGAUACCAGUAAUCAAUAUCCGAGAAAAACCUUUAUUUUUUCCAUGUACUUUUCCUCUCGGUCACACCUUUGGGCAGUUUCUGAUUCCAUCAUUCUGUAUUUUAAUAAGAAGACGAGAGUGUUAAUGCUAUGUUUGGCCAUUUAUAUAUAAUUCACAGAUGAAAUUUA